GACGUAAGGCGCGAGCGUUGUCCGGAUUUAUUGGGCGUAAAGAGCUCGUAGGCGGCUUGUCGCGUCGUCCGUGAAAACCCACAGCUCAACUGUGGGCUUGCGGUCGAUACGGGCAGGCUAGAGUUCGGUAGGGGAGACUGGAAUUCCUGGUGUAGCGGUGAAAUGCGCAGAUAUCAGGAGGAACACCGGUGGCGAAGGCGGGUCUCUGGGCCGAUACUGACGCUGAGGAGCGAAAGCGUGGGGAGCGAACAGG
rnacentral:rRNA from 1 species